UAGAAAGAAAAGCCAUUUCUUCGCGGAGAAUGAAUGCCUGCAAGAGGGACAUCUGCAUUUAUAUAAGGAUUUCGAUGCUGAGAAGCUACUUCUGUCGUUGCGUAACUGUGUCGAGCGAAAUGCAUUGUGAAUCGAACUGUCAUAUUGUAUUUCAAAUUGGAAGCGCACGUUCUCGAUAUAACAAUUCCAAAGCUAAGAUUACCUAUUUUACUUUAUACCAUGUAUAAAUUAAUUCUACAUUUUAUAUUUUCAUAUUUUUAGGGCGGUUCGGAUGGCCAAUUCAGAAGUAAUUGCAAGAAGGACAUUGUCAAGGAAGACAUGAUGUAUGAAAAAAUAAAUGCAUCUUGUCCUGAGAUAUUUCGGGAAUCUACCAAAGAUAUUCCAUUACAAUCACUUCAUUAAAAUUGAAGUAAAUUAAUAGAAUCUUCGGAUGCUUGAAGAUCAUCGGAGAUACAUCUUCCACAGGAUCCCAGGAAUACUUUGGCGUACUGUGGAAUAUACAUAUUUACUUUAUGAAUGUCGAAACGCGUACACCUACACAGUAACACGCAGGCACGCGCAAAGUGCUGCUUACAUAGAAAACUGUGUUUACCACGCAACUUCCGGAAGAACCGUCAAUGUGUCCGGCACAGAGAUGACCUUUCCUGAUGGGCACCGACGUGCCAUAAGCUUGGAGACACUCUUCGAGGUCCAGAAGAGGAACACUGACUUCCAGAAGGGCGGUAGAGAGCGAGGGCGAGGGACCGUAUCGGCCCCAACCGGAGGCCACGCAUUGUCUUUUGCCGAUAUACUGCUCAGGACCGGGAAGACAGAUAGUGCGAACGACCUUUGAUAGAGGUGCUGGCCUGGCGAGCUUCAUUAGGGCUACAAGGACGAGAUUCUAUCAGGAUUCCAGAGAGCUUUGGAAAAGACUCACCUAUGUCGUGCACGUAAUUAUUGAACCUCUCGUGAAGAAUCACCUUUUCGACGGGCAAACGAGCGGAUCCGCGUCCCCCCGCGUCCAGUUCCCAUUCGCCGACCACCGCUGUCCAUAGCGCGCCGAUGGGCAAAUUAAACAGCUCGCUGAAGUAAACACCCA